rnacentral:rRNA from 1 species
AGUGUGACGACCCCCUGAAUUUAAAAGCAUAUAAAU